GGGUGCAUAGCUCAGUAGGUAGAGCAACGGGCUUUUAAUCUGGUGGUCAUUGGUUCGAGUCCAAUUGUACUUA
rnacentral:tRNA from 1 species